rnacentral:rRNA from 1 species
GACGAACGCUGGCGGCGUGCUUAACACAUGCAAGUCGAACGGAAAGGCCCUGCUUUUGUGGGGUGCUCGAGUGGCGAACGGGUGAGUAACGCGUGAGUAACCUGCCCUUGACUUUGGGAUAACUUCUGGAAACUGGGGCUAAUACCGGAUAGGAGCUCCUGCUGCAUGGUGGUGGUUGGAAAGUUUCGGCGGUUGGGGAUGGACUCGCGGCUUAUCAGCUUGUUGGUGGGGUAGUGGCUUACCAAGGCUUUGACGGGUAGCCGGCCUGAGAGGGUGACCGGCCACAUUGGGACUGAGAUACGGCCCAGACUCCUACGGGAGGCAGCAGUGGGGAAUAUUGCAAAAUGGGCGGAAGCCUUAUGCAGCAACGCCGCGUGCGGGAUGACGGCCUUCGGGUUGUAAACCGCUUUCGCCUGUGACGAAGCGUGAGUGACGGUAAUGGGUAAAGAAGCACCGGCUAACUACGUG